GGAGUGCAGUACCAAUCUGAAUGCUACUGCGGAGACGCCAGUACAGACUACGAUCGCCUGGGUGAACUGCCUCUGGAUGACUGCAGAGUGUUCAGAUGUCUUGGAAACCAGGAUCAAUAUUGUGGGGGAUUUGAUGCACUUCUUGUUUACAAUAUAACAGUGAUGGCUCCAAACAAACUACAAACAACUACUGCAGAGUUAUCAUCUACGACAUCUGACACAUCUUCCCUAAGGACAUUUAUCACAAAUUCAACAGAACUAUUUCCAACGACAUCUGGCUCAACCACCAUGAAGACGCCGAUGAUUCCUGCUAUAAAUUCAAUAGCUUUGUAUGCUGGCCUUGGUGGUGGAGGAGCGUUUAUAGCGAUACUUAUCAUCGCAGUCAUCGCUA